rnacentral:tRNA from 1 species
GCCCGGCUGGCUCAAUCAGUAGAGUAUGUGACUCUCAAUCUCAGGGUUGUGAGUUCGAGCCCCACAUUGGGCA